UACGAAGGGGGCUAGCGUUGCUCGGAAUCACUGGGCGUAAAGCGCACGUAGGCGGAUUGUUAAGUCAGGGGUGAAAUCCUGGAGCUCAACUCCAGAACUGCCUUUGAUACUGGCGAUCUUGAGUCCGGGAGAGGUGAGUGGAACUGCGAGUGUAGAGGUGAAAUUCGUAGAUAUUCGCAAGAACACCAGUGGCGAAGGCGGCUCACUGGCCCGAUACUGACGCUGAGGCACGAAAGCGUGGGGA
rnacentral:rRNA from 1 species